GGGGAUUUUCGUUUUUGGCUCAAUUUUUCUUGUGUACUUAAUGCAUACUAUAUGUUGAUACCCUCUUAGUAUUGAUUUUAAAUAUCAAUUGAAUGACUAAAAAGUGAAGAUUGAUAUUUGAUGAACUAGACUUUGAACUCAUGAUUCUUGAUUUAGAGAUAGACUUGAAUUCUAUAUGGAAUUAGUAAUUAAUCAAAGAACUUCACAGGCUUUAAUUGAU
rnacentral:misc_RNA from 1 species